UACAGAGGUCUCAAGCGUUGUUCGGAUUCAUUGGGCGUAAAGGGUGCGUAGGCGGCGCGGUAAGUCGGGUGUGAAAUCUCGGAGCUUAACUCCGAAACUGCAUUCGAUACUGCCGUGCUUGAGGACUGGAGAGGAGACUGGAAUUUACGGUGUAGCGGUGAAAUGCGUAGAUAAUCGUAAGGAAGACCAGUGGCGAAGGGA
rnacentral:rRNA from 1 species